rnacentral:misc_RNA from 1 species
UGUGUAAAGUGUAAGGUGUAAGCAAUGACAUAUAGUAUUUUUACUACAGUAAUGUAUGUAAUUUAUAGUAUGUUUAUAAUAAACAUAACAAUAAUGAAAAGUCACAAUCUAAUGUUUUCACAGUUCUCUUACGUCAAAAAUUUUGAUCUAGGUAAAUUUAAUAAUAUGGAAGUCAAACAGGAAGCUAGUGAGAUGAUAUCUUGUAAAGUGGAAACAGAUAAUGAGACCUUUGAUGGUCCUUUGGAUGCCUUCAAAGUCGAAAUCAAAGAAGAACCCAAGACAGAACCCGCAUACGACACGUUUGGCUAUUUAGACUGCAAUGAAUUCCCCCUAAAAACUGAAGUAGAACAAGAACAAGAUGAAUGUAAAUUUACCCCAUCUGAAACAAAGCAGACAGCAAAUGAAAGUUGUUCGCAGGAGCAGAACAAAAUGAAAAGUAUGGAAACAAUAACUGCACAUUCAUCUCAUACUCAUACAGGAAGCUAUACAGGUCGUCACGCUGAAGGAAAACCAUUGAAUAAAAAUAUGGAAGUAGAAACUGGAAGAUCUUAUAAAUGUGAAAUUUGUUUUAAAAAGUUUAGCCAAGCAUAUAAAUUGAAAAUACAUUUGAGAGUACAUACUGGGGGAAAGCCAUACAAGUGUGAAGUUUGUUUUAAACAGUUUAGUGAAGCAAGUUCUUUAAAAAAACAUUUGAGAGUGCAUACAGGAGAAAAACCUUAUAAGUGUGAAAUUUGUUUAAAAAAGUUUACUACUUCAAGUCAUUUGAAACGUCAUUGGAGAAUACACACUGGAGAACAGCCUUAUAAGUGUGAAGUUUGUUUUAAACAGUUUGCUGAUUCAAGUUCUUCAAAAAAACAUUUGAGAUUGCACACUGGAGAAAAACUUACAAAGUGUGAAAUUUGUUUUAAACGAUUUAGUCAAGCAUGUAAUUUGAAACUACAUUUGAGAGUGCACACUGGUGAAAGACCCUACAAAUGUGAAAUUUGUUUUAAACAGUUUAGUCAAAUAGGUAAUUUGAAAAAACAUUUGAGAAUGCACACUGGAGAACAGCCGUAUAAGUGUGAAAUUUGUUUUAAACAGUUUAAUGAAACAUUUAAUUUAAAAAAACAUUUGAGAGUGCACACUGGAGAAAAACCUUAUAAGUGUGAAAUUUGUUUAAAGAGGUUUACUACUUCAAGUCCUUUGAAAAGACAUUUGAGAACGCAUACUGGAGAAAAACUUACAAAGUGUGAAAUUUGUUUUAAAGAGUUUAGUGAAAUAGGUAAUUUGAAAAGACAUUUGAGAAUGCACACUGGAGAACAGCCGUAUAAGUGUGAAAUUUGUUUUAAACAGUUUAAUCAAACAUGUAAUUUAAAAAAACAUUUGAGUGUGCACACUGGAGAAAAACUUACAAAGUGUGAAAUUUGUUUUAAACAGUUUAGUGAAGCAGGUAAUUUAAAAAGACAUUUGAGAUUACACACUAGGGAAACACCUUUGUAGGGGAAAGGAUGAGAUUGUAAUGAAUCGUGGUUUCGGACAACAGACUUAAUAAAACGUUGUUCCCAGGAGCAGAACAAAAUGAAAAGUAUGGAAACAGUAACUGCACAUUCAUCUCAUACUCAUACAGGAAGCUAUACAGGUCGUCACGCUGAAGGAAAACCAUUGAAUAAAAA